AAGGUUUUAAGUUAAGGUAAACUUAUAGCCUUCAAAGCUAUUUAUAAAGAAUUUCUUUAAGCCUUA
rnacentral:tRNA from 1 species